rnacentral:misc_RNA from 1 species
UGUGACAGAGCAGCUUCUGUGGGAC